UACGUAGGGCGCAAGCGUUAUCCGGAAUUAUUGGGCGUAAAGAGCUCGUAGGCGGUCUGUCGCGUCGGCUGUGAAAUCCCGGAGCUCAACUCCGGGCCUGCAGUCGAUACGGGCAGACUGGAGUUCGGCAGGGGAGACUGGAAUUCCUGGUGUAGCGGUGAAAUGCGCAGAUAUCAGGAGGAACACCGGUGGCGAAGGCGGGUCUCUGGGCCGAUACUGACGCUGAGGAGCGAAAGCGUGGGGAGCGAACAGG
rnacentral:rRNA from 1 species